rnacentral:rRNA from 1 species
ACGAAAAAUAACGAUACGGGACUCAUCCGAGGCCCCGUAAUCGGAAUGAGUACACUCUAAACCCUUUAACGAGGAUCAAUUGGAGGGCAAGUCUGGUGCCAGCAGCCGCGGUAAUUCCAGCUCCAAUAGCGUAUAUUAAAGUUGUUGCGGUUAAAAAGCUCGUAGUCGAAUUUGUGUCCCGCGCCGCCGGUUCAUCGCUCGCGGUGUCAACUGGCGUGUCCGCGGGACGUCCUGCCGGUGGGCUUAGCCCGUUCGGGCGGCCCAAUCUCAAUCCCACCGCGGUGCUCUUCACUGAGUGUCGAGGUGGGCCGGCACGUUUACUUUGAACAAAUUAGAGUGCUUAAAGCAGGCUAAAACAUCGCCUGAAUACUGUGUGCAUGGAAUAAUGGAAUAGGACCUCGGUUCUAUUUUGUUGGUUUUCGGAACCCCGAGGUAAUGAUUAAUAGGAACGGAUGGGGGCAUUCGUAUUGCGACGUUAGAGGUGAAAUUCUUGGAUCGUCGCAAGACGGACAGAAGCGAAAGCAUUUGCCAAAAACGCUUUCAUUGAUCAAGAACGAAAGUUAGAGGUUCGAAGGCGAUCAGAUACCGCCCUAGUUCUAACCAUAAACGAUGCCAGCUAGCGAUCCGCCGACGUUCCUCCGAUGACUCGGCGGGCAGCUUCCGGGAAACCAAAGCUUUUGGGUUCCGGGGGAAGUAUGGUUGCAAAGCUGAAACUUAAAGGAAUUGACGGAAGGGCACCACCAGGAGUGGAGCCUGCGGCUUAAUUUGACUCAACACGGGAAACCUCACCAGGCCCGGACACCGGAAGGAUUGACAGAUUGAGAGC